GACGAACGCUGGCGGCGUGCUUAACACAUGCAAGUCGAACGGAAAGGCCCUGCUUUUGUGGGGUGCUCGAGUGGCGAACGGGUGAGGAACACGUGAGUAACCUGCCCUUGACUUUGGGAUAACUUCAGGAAACUGGGGCUAAUAUCGGAUAGGAGCUCCUGCUGCAUGGUGGGGGUUGGAAAGUUUCGGCGGUUGGGGAUGGACUCGCGGGUGAUCAGCUUGUUGGUGGGGUAGUGGCUUACCAAGUCAGUGACUGGUAGCCGGCCUGAGAGGGUGGCCGGCGACAAGAGGACUACGGUAGGGAGCAGACGCCAACGGGGGGCAGUAGUGGGGAGUAUUACACAAUGAGAGGGAGCCUGAUGCGACGACGCCGGGGGCGGGAUGACGGCCUGCGGGUUGUGAACAGCUUUCGCCUGUGACGAAGCGUGAGUGACGGUAAUGAAUGAAGAAGCACCGGCUAACUACGUG
rnacentral:rRNA from 1 species